ACGAAGGGGGCUAGCGUUGUUCGGAAUUACUGGGCGUAAAGCGCGCGUAGGCGGUGAUCUUUGUCAGAGGUGAAAGCCUGGGGCUCAACUCCAGAAUUGCCUUUGAAACGGGAUUGCUAGAGUCCGAGAGAGGAUGGCGGAAUUCCUAGUGUAGAGGUGAAAUUCGUAGAUAUUAGGAAGAACACCAGUGGCGAAGGCGGCUCACUGGUCCGGUACUGACGCUGAGGUGCGAAAGCGUGGGGAGCAAACAGGA
rnacentral:rRNA from 1 species